CUCUCGCAGCAGUAUUGCUCGGCUUCAUGGUUUGAGCUUUUUCUUUCUUGGAUUUCUCUGGGCAAUCUCUAAGUAAUGGUCUAAGAAACCACACCUGAAACAUGCUCUGUUCUUUAAUCGAAACUCACUAUAAUGUGGUUUCUUACAGUGCUUGCACUUGGGCCAAACAUCUCUGACACUACCCACACUUGCUACAGAUGUAGCUUGUGGCUUUGGAC
rnacentral:lncRNA from 1 species